rnacentral:rRNA from 1 species
UACGGGGGGGGCAAGCGUUGUUCGGAAUUACUGGGCGUAAAGGGCUCGUAGGUGGCCAACUAAGUCAGACGUGAAAUCCCUCGGCUUAACCGGGGAACUGCGUCUGAUACUGGAUGGCUUGAGUGUGGGAGAGGGAUGCGGAAUUCCAGGUGUAGCGGUGAAAUGCGUAGAUAUCUGGAGGAACAUCAGUGGCGAAGGCGACACCCUGGACUCAUACUGACACUGAGGUACGAAAGCGUGGGGAGCAAACAGG